rnacentral:ncRNA from 1 species
GCAAAAUGAAUCAGUAGCCUCGAAAAAAGGAUUGGCUCUGAGGGCUGGGCCUGGGGGUCUCCAUCCUGAACCCGUCAGCUGUUGGCGGACUACUUGAGUUGCUCCCGUUGUGAGAGCCGAUCGCUGCGUGUCAGCUGGGGAACAAACUAAGAACGGCCUCUUCGGGAGCCUUAUCCGGGCGUCGAAUAGUCGACUCAGAACUAAUACGGACAAGGAGAAUCCAACUGUUUAAUUAAAACAAAGCAUCGCGAUGGUCCUUGCGGAUGCUUACACAAUGUAAUUUAUGCCCAGUGCUCUGAAUAUCAAAGUGAAAAAAUUCAAUCAAGCGCGGUUGUCAAUUUCAACCAAACAACUCUUAAGUAUAUGGGAUCUUAGAUAUAUUUUAAAAUUUAUUGUCUAGAUUUUAUUUAUACAUCAAACCGAUAAAUAAUUGAUAUAUAUUAAUUAGUUUUAAAUUAUGGUUUAUGUAUUAAUUAUCCAAUAGCAAAACAUAAAACGCUUAAUACAUAUGUGUUA